rnacentral:lncRNA from 1 species
GUGACGUCACUGGAAGAAGCUGCCGGGCGACUGGAGGAGCAGCCGUCGGAAGAUUCCUGCGGGUAAGAACACUUAGAGUAGAAGCGGGAGUGGCCCCCAAGCGGGAAAUGGGCCAUAUCAAUUUAGACCGAUAGAUAAAGAUCCGGUUCUUUUACGGCCGGAAGCGACGGCCGUAAGUCGGAGCCGGGUUCAGCCUAGAAAUUGCUUAAUUACGCUCGAGCCGCGUCUUAGGGCGGGAGGGGGCCGACGUGUGUGGCGCAAUGGCCGCGUUACGGUGGUAGGCCGGAAGCUAAUUGCCCACCGACGGACGGUAAAUGGAAGUGGGGAACCGUCUCGGACGGAGGAAACGGCCUUCCUCCCCGUCCCGAUCCGUCCGCUCGACCGGCCGAGACGAUGGCACGGGGUCGAGGUUAGCCUCGGGCCGACCACUAAAUCAACAAACCGCGUGCGCCGAACCCAUUUUCUCGAUGGGCAGACAAAUGACGCAUUAUUUAUCGGCGGGCUAAGUACCGCCGAUGACUUCUGUUUCACCCAACCUAUCAUCAGGGUGCUAAGUCAGCUCCGUGCGACCGGCGCUCAUUAAGCCGUUGCAUGCCAAGCGGCUAUAAAGGUGGCGGCCGGAUUCCGAUGAUAUAUUGGCAGAAAUAAGCGGGUUGCCGGCCAUUCCCGUCACCGGGGGUGGGAGGCUCUUCCCCUCGGCCUAAUGGGCGCUAACCCCGCGCCCGGCCCAGGCGCCGGUCCCGUGGGAACCGGACACUUUAUUAAGGUGACGCACGUCGGCGGCGCUUUGUGUCUCCGGCGACCAAAUCUGAAUCUGGAGCUUUUUAAUUCCUCCGAGGAGGGAGGAGAGUGGAGAUGCGGGGCCAGACACGCCAAAUAACAUCCCGACAGCCGACUGGACCUGAAUAUCAAAUACCGGCGCGCUUUGGCAGCGGUGCGGCGUCUGCGCUCUUCCACCAAGCUACGCCUGGCCGGUGGGCAUCCGGAGAUGGAGAUUUUCCGCCCGCCCGAUAACUGGUGGCCGAGCCGCGGUACGGGAAGGGAGUGGGGGGCCGGCCCGGUGGAAAUGGGGCGGCGGCCGGUGCGGGCCAGCUGGCCAGAGGACGGUAGCAGGCGGAUUGGGUUGGGCCAUAGUGGUCGAGUAGUCACCGAUAACCGGCCCAGAGCGAAAUUUGGGAGGUACCGACGGGGACCGGGACCAUCGACCGUUCGGCGUUAAUAGAACAGCCGCUAGGAAGAGACCGGCCAGAUUUUGGAGAUAGGGCCAAGUAAGCCGGGCCGUUUCCCAUCACCCGUGAUGGGCCUCCGCAUCCGGUCGCCGACCGGUCGAAAUUUAAGCGGACCCAACGGCCCGGGGCAACCAGAAAAGGCGCCGGCUCUGGCCCACUCCGACCGGCUGGCACGGUACGCCUGUGUCCGGACACAAAAUGCGAUACGAGGUGGGGACGGUGCCGGUCUAGACCACGGUAUUUGACCCCGAUCUCAGUCGGGCCCAACCCAACGGUGGUCCCCACCACCACUACCGUUUAAUUUUGGCUCCUGGACCACCAUUUUAUUUACCUAGGGAUGUACACGCUCCGGGACCAGUCGACUUUCCAUCCUCGGUAUCCAGCUACCGGGUCGAAUAGUAAUCGGACCAAAAAUAUAAAAUUCAGCUCGGCCCGAGUCUAAGUAACCGAUGGGAAAUACCGGAUGACCUGAUCCGAUGGGGGAAAACGAAACACCGCUGUACGGGUCUACCGAGCUCUCCCAACAUUCGGCCCAUAAGACGAUUUUAUCCGACCCGCCGAGGUUGGUUCCUUACCAAGCAAGAGUUGGGUAUAUACAGGCCGAAUGUUUAAUAUCUUCCGAAAAAUAUGUAAAUAUUCUGGACAAUUAUUUACUUUAAUUUAAUACAUCUUAAAAAUACACUUAGUUGUUUAACUGGGAGAUAGGUGUGGUAGGUGUAGGCUGGCCGAGAAUUUCGUUUUUAUCGUAUUUCGACCGCCCGGCGCUAGGCGGCGGCACCCGGAAAGCCAAAGUUGUUUAAGGCGGCCAUAAAGACGAAGGAGUGCAAGGCGCUAAACGGAGACAGAGCGUAAAGUAAAUAUUACUUUGUGGUUAAUUAAGACGAUUGGCUUUGGAAAUGGAAAUGGCUAGAGCCGGGCCUCUGGGAAAUUGCGGAGCGGCCAAAAACUAUCGUUACUUGGCCGGCUGUCGACAGUUAAUGGCGGUCGGCCGAUAUAAUUGUAGAAAACGGAAGUCCUCCGUCUGUUUUCAACCGGCCGGUGGGAAAAUGGUGGAGACGGCCCCAUCUGACGGAAAAGUUAGGAAUUAAAACGACCGCGGCCGGUGAUAGAGUCCAGGUGGAGAUGGAAAGGAAGAACGGCGGUUAAUCCACUCGGUCGGCCCGCUCUUCCACUGGUAGAAAAUUUGAUUUAAUAUAGACGGAAAAGCGUUACGGGUGUGGCGCUCUUCACCCUACCGUAUAUAAAUAGACCUGGAAACGGACCGACUCUGCACUACCCACAUCGAUCCGCCUGGGCUGGUAACCGUCCGUGGCUCCGGAGAUUUUUUCCCUCCGGUUUUCCGUCUUAUCCCUUAAUUUCCCGGUAAUUAACCGUGGAGGAGGGGCAGGCCUAACCCGGGACGGAGAAGGUGGCUACCGUAGUAUAAAAAGAGAUGGCGGGUGGUUAGCCGCGGGGAUAAAAAGACGGACCACCGGGCGAGACUGCCCGUUCGGAUACGUCUUAACGCCGGAAAAUGAUGGCGGAACCAUCGGGAAAUUUGCUCCCACCCAUCCUGGCCCGCCCCUUCGUCGGAAUGGACGGGGUAGGCCGUAUGGAUGGUUUUUAAGAAAGCGCGUCCGAUGAGCGAACGGUGGCUGGCGGGAGGGCAGUUUAAGGCGCCAGAAAGCGGUACGACCCUUGGCCUUAUAUUUCGGAAAGCCACCUUCUCUAAUAGUUACCUACCGUAUGGGUGGACGGCCGACCGGUAUAUACCGACCGGCUGGGAAAAUAACCACGAACGGAAAAACCGGGGCCACCGGCCAUGGUUCGACGGGUCCGGUGCCCGUUCCCUCAUCUAAAGCGCUUUAUCCGAGUCCAGCCACUUCGUCCCGGAGGAAGCGAAUUAAAAUCGACCCUCCCGCUAAUACCGACUAGCUGGGACGGACUCGAGGAUUAAGGUUUACAUCGGCGGGUUAUUACCGAGCAGGGUACCACCGGCCGGGACCUGGAGGAUAGCUUUCCAUUGUCGAUAUAUCGGCGCGAUAAAAUGGGAUUUAAAGGGAAAAGGGAAACGGAAUACGGGGGUGGCUCCCGGAUCCCAUGGUGUCUGGACAUAAACACGCUAUCGGGAAAUUCCAAUUGCGCGUCCAUAAAUUACAAUUCGGAAGGGGUACCCGGUGGCGGUGGCAAAUUUUCUGCCGCUGUCCCAUCCGGAGGUGGAAAACUCGGUGCGGGUUUUUCCCUUCGGGCGGCGCCCGUUUCCACCCGCCGCUAAUUUUACUUUACUUACCGGUGGAAAAGAACGGUCGGGGAGGGGAGUGGGUAAACGGCCGGAGUGUGGCCGCGGCUAGAUAAGACCCGAGUCUUAUUUACCCGCGGGACCGCCGCCCGUCCCUUUCCACUUCCGUCCGCUGGGUGGCGGAUCCGGAUGGCGGAUUUGUACGGGGAAAAGCGCGGUAGGGGUGGGACCGUGUGGAAAACACUAACUACUGGACUUUUUUUUCUUGGCAGCCCGACGGAAGAAUGGGAAGGCGGAUCAUCCCAGAGUGGACCGGAGUCUCCG